rnacentral:rRNA from 1 species
AACGAACGCUGGCGGCAUGCCUAACACAUGCAAGUCGAGCGAGACCUUCGGGUCUAGUGGCGCACGGGUGCGUAACGCGUGGGAACCUGCCCUUGGGUUCGGAAUAACUCCCCGAAAGGGGUGCUAAUACCGGAUAAUGUCUUCGGACCAAAGAUUUAUCGCCUUUGGAUGGGCCCGCGUUGGAUUAGCUAGUUGGUAGGGUAAAAGCCUACCAAGGCGACGAUCCAUAGCUGGUCUGAGAGGAUGAUCAGCCACACUGGGACUGAGACACGGCCCAGACUCCUACGGGAGGCAGCAGUGGGGAAUAUUGGACAAUGGGCGAAAGCCUGAUCCAGCAAUGCCGCGUGAGUGAUGAAGGCCUUAGGGUUGUAAAGCUCUUUUACCCGGGAUGAUAAUGACAGUACCGGGAGAAUAAGCUCCGGCUAACUCCGUG